CAGCCUGUUUACCAGCAGCCUUAGGUACAAAGGGCCUUUAGAAGGCAACCAGCUGGCAGGAGUCCUGGAGAUUGGAAGGGAGGAACCCGGACAGCAGCGUGUGAAGAGGCUGAGUGAACAACAAAGCUCCUCUCCUUUGAUUGAGCCUGUUUCGGCAGCUACACCCUCCUCACAGCGAGCAUGGUGCAACUUGCCCUAUUGACAAUGUUUGCAGGGGAGCUGCAGCCAUUAGAGACAAGGCCAGCAAGGUAAUAGCUGUUAGUGAUACUCAGAGCUCUGUGGAGCUCCCACACUUGUCUCCCUCCCCAGAAGAAAAUGGUCCAAUAAAAGCUAUUACCUCCCA